AUUGAACGCUGGCGGCAGGCCUAACACAUGCCAGUCGAGCGGAGCGGCGGACGGGGGAGUAAUGCCUAGGAAUGUGCCUGGGAGUGGGGGAUAACGUACGGUAAAGGGAGCUAAUACCGCAUACUAUAAGAUAAGCCUAGGUCGGAUUAGCUAGUUGGGGGGGUAAAGGCCUACAAAGGCGACGAUCCGUAACUGUGCUGAGAGGAUGAUCAGUCACACUGGAACUGAGAAACGGUCCAGACUCCUACGGGAGGCAGCAGUGGGGAAUAUUGGACAAUGGGCGAAAGCCUGAGCCAGCCAUGCCGCGUGUAUGAAGAAGGCCUUCGGAUUGUAAAGCACUUUAAGCUGGGAGGCGUUACCAACAGAAUAAGCACCGGCUAACUUCGUGCCAGCAGCCGCGGUAAUUC
rnacentral:rRNA from 1 species